GAUGGAAAAGACAGUGGCCAUGUUUCCACAAUGAGCAAAGUGAAAUUGUACCAGUUUUGUUUUCCCAGCAGGAGCCAUCUUCCUGUCUCUCUUUCCGCUGUACUGUUGACAGAUAUCCAUGGGCACACACAUCAGAGGAGUGAAAGGAAUCCCAUGGAGAAGGCUGGAUGGCAAGAGGUUCUCUUGAGCCCCUGGAAGUUCUGCACAAAAAUUCCCAAACAGGCUCGGAUUUCUCCAGGAGAAUAUUUUCUUCCAUUAAUUUUUGCAGCAAAUAAGGAAAUUAAAGGACAUGGAAGUACUUGGUAGAAGACACAUAGCUAUGGUGCCAGGAAUUCAUGGCGGGGACAGAGAUUGGAGAGUUGUGUGGGAAGAAGUUGCCAGUCUGGCUGCUGAGCCUGGGUCCCCUGCAAGUGGCAGCUGAGGUACAGACCCCUCUCCAGCAGUGCCGUGGCAGCACAUCCAUGAGCCUGGAUCCCCUGCAAGUGGCAGCUGAGGUACAGACCCCUCUCCAGCAGUGCCGUGGCAGCACAUCCAUGAGCCUGGCUGCCGAGGAAGGCUGUGGGAGGAAACACCUGCUCACCCCUUGGAGCUGUGGCUCAGGCCAAGCCCCAUGGAACUGUCAAUGGCUUUGCAAUGCAUUUGGUUGAUGCUGCAUAAUCACAAAUAUUGCUGCUGUCUGGGCUGGAUUUAAUUUGGGGAGGAUUCAAAGAAAGUACCUUGGGAAGGAUUGUAUGAGGAGAAGACACAUAAACCUUUCUUCCUGACUCAACUUUGUUAUUUUCACAAAUGUGGAACACAUUUGGUCUGGCAUCCCAUUGAUUUGUUUACUGCUUUUGUGUCCCACAUUUGCUGAGACUUUCCAAACAUAGAUAUCUCUCUCAUCUGGCCUGGCUCUGACUACUGCACUGAGAACCCAGCAUAAGAGGUGGAGUACAUGUCCAGGGCAUUUGGGUGGGCAUGAAAUUGAACACAGUGAACUUUUGAAAUAACCUAGGCUGUACUUUCAGGUUUGCCCAUGGCUCAGGUGUAAAAAUUAUUUGGUUUUUUAGGAAAUUAUGCUAGAGUAUCAGCUAUAAGCCCUUACCUUGGGUGCACGCAGCUCUCUGUUUAUGUGCUUUGCCCCUGGAUGUGGAAUGUUACAGCACUGUUAUGAAUCAUUUUGUCCAUGGAAACUUUGGAAACAAUGAAGCAUGGCAUGCUUUCAAACAUUACUUUUGUUAUAAAAAUCAGUGGCUCCUACAGUGACCUGAAACUAGUCAGGUAGGAUUUAAAUGAGCAAAGAAUUUCACAGAUGGCUGACUUGUUACUCCAUUGUAGCACGUGUAUAUAGUUCUUUGUUUCAAAAAACAUUUUCCCCUUUUGUUUUAGACAAGACUAUUAGUAGUUUUUCAUACAACUAUGAUUCCUAGUUUAGGUAGGAUGUAUUUCAGUCAAAUAAAACUGAAAGAAAGAAGAAAGCCAUCUUCUCAUCUCAGCCAUUUUGCAGAGAGAACCCUCUCCCUGACUUUUCCUUCUAACCACCAUCUCAGCUGUACUAAAGAGGGCAAGAGAUCCUCUUCAAACAUGCUGAGGAGUUAAGUAUGUAUUAGCUCCACUGUCCUGACACCUGACAUGAUCUGCCAGACCAGCUGGGAGAUCUAAAGAGGGUUUCUUUUCUGCAUAUACUUUGAGGCCUAGUGUGUAGACCCUGUUACACUGCAGUCUUUCAGAAGUGCACUGACUUCUUUGAAACGCCUCUGCAUGGCCCAGAAGAAGACACUUUUGCCAGAAGCAGUCUCCUAGCAUGCAUCAUUCUUGGCAGUAUCCGCAAAUAAACUUCUUGUAAUUGAUUUAAUAAUUUUCAAAUAAAAAAAUUAUGAUAGCUGUGGACAGC